rnacentral:rRNA from 1 species
UACGUAGGGGGCAAGCGUUGUCCGGAUUUAUUGGGCGUAAAGAGCGUGUAGGCGGUUAGGUAGGUCCGUUGUGAAAACUCGAGGCUCAACCUCGAGACGCCGAUGGAAACCAUCUGACUAGAGUCCGGAAGAGGAGAGUGGAAUUCCUGGUGUAGCGGUGAAAUGCGCAGAUAUCAGGAAGAACACCCGUGGCUAAGGCGGUUGGCUGGGCCGUUGCUGACACUGAUGCGCGACAGCGUGGGGAGCAAACAGG